CCCAAAGCUUCCUUAUAACUGACUCAAGAAGGAAGAGAAAAACUUUAUAAAUGUGGGGUCUGAUAGUUUCCUCAAAAGCCCAUCAGGCAGCAGUGUUUUCCUAGACAGUCUUGUGGCUAAAGAUGCUUAGCCAGAGACUAGGGGAAGUGAAGUCUGAAAAAUGUACAGGAUGUUUAUUAUUUAAUUGUCAUAACUUGGAGAAUACGUUACUAAUGAUUAUCACUUGUUAUUCUAAAACUUUUUGACUUUCUUUAUGUUUUUUCUUUAACUCAGAAAAUUAUAGUAUUUAGGGACAGGGAAUAUUAUAUAUUUUCCACAGCUCAUGCCAUUACGUUUCUCAUAUUUGGAGGAACAGCAGAGGUUAUUCCUACAAGACACAAAAGCUAAACUACCAUGGAACCACCUUCCUGACCAAGGUACCUCCCUGCUCAUAGCUGUCAGGCUGUUUACAAUCAUCUUGGCUUUGAUGUCUGUCAAGAAUCCACACACAGAGAGAAGGUUGGGCGACCUGCUUGACAUGGUACCUCUUUGUGGAUACAAAGUGACUGACUUAACCAAGCAGAAGAGCAUGUUAGACAACGUGACAUGGAGUAGAAGACACACACUCAUCUGGUCUGAACCGUGGCUGAUUUUGGGUGUUAAAGGACAGUGUACACUUCUAUUCAGUUGUAUUUCUCAGAUACUUGCCCUCGAGGAGGGCCUCAGAUCUCAGGUGCUCUUUCUUUUACUAUCUAAGUUUGGAAUAAUCUCAAAUAGACCUGUGAGUAACUUCAGUUUUUCUUAUUAGUGAGUUUCCUGUAGCUUUGAUUCAGUGUCUUGAAAAUGUGCAGUCUACUGGGCUUUCUUGAACAUACUGAGCACAUCCAUGUUCCUCAAUUCUUCACAGCCCUGUUUGGAAGCACUGGUUAUAGUUUAUUUUUUAAUUCCAAGGAUUGUCACAAUUGUUGGCACUCAGUAAAAUUAAAUAACACCCAGGGGCAGUGAUGAGUCCUUAAACAGGACUCCUAAGACCUGCAUGCCUCAGGAUGUGUCCUCUGGGCAGCUGCUGGCUUGUCAUUGCUAACUUGAAGAAAACGGCACCCUGCUUCUCAGCAGCAGCUCCUGAGGGGCCAGGCUGUGCAGCGAAUCCCCACUUUCCCAGGAUCAUGGCUGCUGCUGGCCAUGAAAAGAUGUCUCUUAGGGUGGACAACUUUUAUCUUCUUGUGCUGUCAGUCAUGCAUUCCCGCCCAGUGA
rnacentral:lncRNA from 1 species